GGAAAGACUAGGUGAGAGAAGGGGCUUCCUCUGGAGUAGGGCGGUCUCGGUGAGAGAAAGCUGUUUCCCCUGGGGAGACUCAUGGGCCUGAUCCUGCAGCUGAGCUUUCCUCCCAGGCGGCUAAUGCCCUGCAGCUGAGCUCAGGGUGGGGCUUCCUCUGGCCAGCUGUAGACCCUUCCCUUUGAGUGUCCAGAGAGACCAGCUCUCUCUCUCUCCUGGGUCUGGAUCCGGCCUGACUCAGCUUUCUGGGCUCUAGCUACAAGGCCUGGCUUCUUUGGGAUCACUCUGGACCCCCAACUCUCCUGCGCCUGGUUUACCUUACUCCCUGGUACGUCAGGGAAGGCCGCUUUCGGAUCGAGGAGAGGACCUUGACUGCGUUCCACUGGCUCUACUCUCCACACCAGCAUCGGAUCGUUGGCCGGGCAGACCUGGAGGUCCCGAGCAGAAACACGGGAAGGUUUGCCGAGCCGCAGAGCAGCUGACAGCCCUCUUGCGGCCACAGGCUUCUCACGGAGAGGCUGCCGAGCAUGAAAACAACCGGUUAGCCCAAGCCGACGCAUCAUCAGCUCCAAUCAGCCACGCACGAGCAGCCAGCCUCUCCUUGGCCGAGGAAUACGACGCGGGGCGAAGCUGCCGACGACGUCUCCUGUCUGGGCCCCCCCACCCCAAACCCCCUUUCCACAUAAAUGCAUCUGGACUAGAUGUUGAGGCUGAGCAUCACUGUUGCAUAAAGUGAAGCCGGAAUCCAAUUUGAGGAGGAGACAGGGGACGGUGAUGUUUUCGAAGCCUUCCAAAGGAAAACGCAUCAGGUCAACAUGUUUGAUUUCCUGCUCCUCGGUCCUGUGACAUUGCAAAGGUGCGCCUGAGGCAAGCCUAGGGUUUUGGGGGCCGGGCUGCUCCCUCGGCGGGCGCCACAGAUCUGUGGGGUGCACAUUUUGUUCCCAAAACGCUGGGCGCUUUGGCGGUUCCUGGG
rnacentral:lncRNA from 1 species